GGAUGUGAGGGUGAGCUGGCUGUGACAUCUGUCACCCCAUUGAUUGCCAGGGUCGAUUCAGCUGACCUGGCGUGCUAGGUGAGUGUCCCCUUCCUCCCGCACCCCUCCAUGUUUGUCCCUCCUGAAGCUGCCCGCUCAGUUGAAGAGGACAACCAGUCUUCAGUCAGGGGUGUACAGGUAGCCACACUCCCCUGCUGGACCCGCCGAACAAGCUCUCAAAAACGUGUGCAUUAAUGUUCAUAGCAGCAGAAGGGAAACAGCCUGGAUGUGGAGAAACUACAGAGGGGACAAGUGCAGUGUCCUUACAGU
rnacentral:snRNA from 1 species